rnacentral:rRNA from 1 species
GACGAACGCUGGCGGCGUGCUUAACACAUGCAAGUCGAACGGAAAGGCCCUGCUUUUGUGGGGUGCUCGAGUGGCGAACGGGUGAGUAACACGUGAGUAACCUGCCCUUGACUUUGGGAUAACUUCAGGAAACUGGGGCUAAUACCGGAUAGGAGCUCCUGCUGCAUGGUGAGGGUUGGAAAGUUUCGGCGGUUGGGGAUGGACUCGCGGCUUAUCAGCUUGUUGGUGGGGUAGUGGCUUACCAAGGCUUUGACGGGUAGCCGGCCUGAGAGGGUGACCGGCCACAUUGGGACUGAGAUACGGCCCAGACUCCUACGGGAGGCAGCAGUGGGGAAUAUUGCACAAUGGGCGGAAGCCUGAUGCAGCAACGCCGCGUGCGGGAUGACGGCCUUCGGGUUGUAAACCGCUUUCGCCGGUGACGAAGCGUGAGUGACGGUAAUGGGUAAAGAAGCACCGGCUAACUACGUG